GACAGAGGGUGCAAACGUUGCUCGGAAUUACUGGGCGUAAAGCGCGUGUAGGUGGAUUGGUGUGUCAGAUGUGAAAGCCCUGGGCUCAACCCAGGAACUGCACCUGAAACUACCAGUCUUGAGUGGUGGAGAGGGAAGUGGAAUUCCUGGUGUAGAGGUGAAAUUCGUAGAUAUCAGGAGGAACACCAGUGGCGAAGGCGAGUCCCUGGACAACUCCUGACACUGAGGCACGAAAGCUAGGGGAGCAAACAGG
rnacentral:rRNA from 1 species